rnacentral:rRNA from 1 species
AUUGAACGCUGGCGGCAGGCCUAACACAUGCAAGUCGAACGCGUGGCGGACGGGUGAGUAAUGUCUGGGCAACUGCCCGAUGGAGGGGGAUAACUACUGGAAACGGUAGCUAAUACCGCAUACCAUCGGAUGUGCCCAGAUGGGAUUAGCUAGUAGGUGGGGUAACGGCUCACCUAGGCGACGAUCCCUAGCUGGCCUGAGAGGAUGGACAGCCACACUGGACCGGAGACACGGUCCAGACUCCUACGUGAGGCAGCAGUGGGAAAGAUUGCACAAUGGGCGCAAGCCGGAUGCAGCCAUGCCGCGUGUAUGAAGAAGGGCUUCGGGUUGUAAAGUACUUUCAGCGAGGAGGCGUUACUCGCAGAAGAAGCCCCGGCUAACUCCGUGCCAGCAGCCGCGGUAAUUC